GAUGAACGCUGGCGGCGUGCCUAAUACAUGCAAGUCGAGCGAACGGACGAGAAGCUUGCUUCUCUGAUGUUAGCGGCGGACGGGUGAGUAACACGUGGAUAACCUACCUAUAAGACUGGGAUAACUUCGGGAAACCGGAGCUAAUACCGGAUAAUAUUUUGAACCGCAUGGUUCAAAAGUGAAAGACGGUCUUGCUGUCACUUAUAGAUGGAUCCGCGCUGCAUUAGCUAGUUGGUAAGGUAACGGCUUACCAAGGCAACGAUGCAUAGCCGACCUGAGAGGGUGAUCGGCCACACUGGAACUGGGACACGGUCCCGACUCCUACGGGGGGCAGCAGUAGGGAAUCUUCCGGAAUGGGCGGAAGCCUGGCGGGGCAACGGCGCGGGGGGGGUGGAGGUCUUCGGGUCGGAAAACUCUGGUAUUAGGGAAGGACAUAUGUGGAAGUAACUGUGCACAUCUUGACGGUACCUAAUCAGAAAGCCACGGCUAACUACGUG
rnacentral:rRNA from 1 species